CACUCCUACGGGAGGCAGCAGUGGGGAAUAUUGCACAAUGGGCGCAAGCCUGAUGCAGCCAUGCCGCGUGUAUGAAGAAGGCCUUCGGGUUGUAAAGUACUUUCAGCGGGGAGGAAGGUGUUGAGGUUAAUAACCUCAGCAAUUGACGUUACCCGCAGAAGAAGCACCGGCUAACUCCGUGCCAGCAGCCGCGGUAAUACGGAGGGUGCAAGCGUUAAUCGGAAUUACUGGGCGUAAAGCGCACGCAGGCGGUCUGUCAAGUCGGAUGUGAAAUCCCCGGGCUCAACCUGGGAACUGCAUUCGAAACUGGCAGGCUAGAGUCUUGUAGAGGGGGGUAGAAUUCCAGGUGUAGCGGUGAAAUGCGUAGAGAUCUGGAGGAAUACCGGUGGCGAAGGCGGCCCCCUGGACAAAGACUGACGCUCAGGUGCGAAAGCGUGGGGAGCAAACAGGAUUAGAAACCCCAGUAGUCCCAUG
rnacentral:rRNA from 1 species